rnacentral:rRNA from 1 species
GACGAACGCUGGCGGCGUGCUUAACACAUGCAAGUCGAACGGAAAGGCCCUGCUUUUGUGGGGUGCUCGAGUGGCGAACGGGUGAGUAACACGUGAGUAACCUGCCCUUGACUUUGGGAUAACUUCAGGAAGCUGGGGCUAAUACCGGAUAGGAGCUCUUGCUGCAUGGUGGGGGUUGGAAAGUUUCGGCGGUUGGGGAUGGACUCGCGGCUGAUCGGCUUGUUGGUGGGGUAGGGGAUUACCAAGGCUUUGACGGGUAGCCGGGCUGAGAGGGUGAGCGGCUAAGUCAGAUUGGGACUGCGACCCAGACCAAUAUGGGACGGGGCGGUGCAGAAGAGAAUACUACGGACUGGGCGCAAGUGUGACGCAGCCACGCGGGGGGAAAGGGGCUUCGGGUUGGAUAGCAAUAUCCCCUCAGACGAGGCGUGAGUGACGGUACUGGGAGAAGAAGCACCGGCUAACUACGUG